rnacentral:rRNA from 1 species
GCCAGACUCCUACGGGAGGCAGCAGUGGGGGAUAUUGCACAAUGGGGGGAACCCUGAUGCAGCGACGCCGCGUGGGUGAAGGAGCGUUUCGGCGCGUAAAGCCCUAUCGGCAGGGAAGAAGGAGGACGGUACCUGACUAAGAAGCCCCGGCUAACUACGUGCCAGCAGCCGCGGUAAUACGUAGGGGGCAAGCGUUAUCCGGAUUUACUGGGUGUAAAGGGGGCGCAGACGGCAGCGCAAGCCAGGAGUGAAAGCCCGGGGCCCAACCCCGGGACUGCUCUUGGAACUGCGCGGCUGGAGUGCAGGAGGGGCAGGCGGAAUUCCUGGUGUAGCGGUGAAAUGCGUAGAUAUCAGGAGGAACACCGGUGGCGAAGGCGGCCUGCUGGACUGCGACUGACGUUGAGGCCCGAAAGCGUGGGGAGCAAACAGGAUUAGAUACCCCGGUAUAU